GCUAGGAGAGCAGGAAGAUCUUGAUAUGAAGCAUAGAAUAGAAAGUGGAGAAACCAGGAAAGAGGGAGAGUCUGGAGGGGUUCCCAGAUCCAUGGGAACAUGGGUCCUUUGUGGAAGAUCUCUGCAAUUUGGGUGAGCAGGUAAAAGAGCAGUCAGGGUCUCCUGGUUCAGAUACACAGUGAACGGCGACCGUUCUCUAGAAGGCCUGAGCUCCUGUGGCUGCUUCUCCAUUUACUGCUGAGGACCUGAGGCCAGAUCCAGCAGCGUCAACCAGUCAAGACUACGCCCAUGGCUGCCUCGGAGGUUCCUCCCCCACUGAUCCCUUCUCAAGUUUAACCUCUAAUUACUUGACGAGGCUGCUGACUGAACAGCCAGCAGGAAGCAGCCAGGAGACUGUCACCACGCAGCCACGCCAGGCCCGCCGGCCUCCCCACCCACGCAGCAAUUGCGAAACGCUGCUGCAACCACCUGAGGCUAUAAAUAGUCUUUAUUAAGAAGCCACGCUGGGGACUGAGCAGGCCUGAUGGGUGGCCCCUAUUUGCUGCCCCUUCAAACAAGUGGAGAAAAAAAUUUUAAGUGUCACUUACAAGAAUCCAAACCUGGGGCCAAGCCUUCUAAGUCUACUUCGGAGUUCUGUCUGCCCACUCCCCUGGACCCCGCCCCAGGUGCCAACUACAUUUUAGAGUCUCUAAGGCUUUCUGCUUAUUGUUGGCCAAUAUGCAACUUCAUCUUGCUGAUGCAAUGAUCGUAAUGAAGAUAAUGAUAACGAAGUAGUUUUUUUAGUAGAUUUUCCUUUCCCCCCAACCAUUCCUAUGGCCCCCAUACUUGUCUCUAAUCUCGUGUGCAGAGACCUCUGUAGUGUUUUCCAUACCAGUUCAUGCCCUCUGUCCCUCCAGUCUACAAGCUCUUUUCUCCUACACACUCCCUUUCUUUCAUGGUCUUUCCCUGUUCAGAAUUUUUCAGUGACUUCUUCUUGUAUGGAACAGUAGCCUAGAAUGUUUUAAAUGCAUACCUUCGUUCUUAAUGUAUAUACCAAUUUACUACUCUA